rnacentral:rRNA from 1 species
UACGUAGGAUGCAAGCGUUAUCCGGAAUUAUUGGGCGUAAAGCGAACGUAGGCGGUUUCGUAAGUCUGGAGUUAAAGGCCAAGGCUCAACCUUGGAAAUGCUUUGGAAACUACGAGACUGGAGGACGGCAGAGGAAAGUGGAAUUCCCAGUGUAGCGGUGAAAUGCGUAGAUAUUGGGAGGAACACCAGUGGCGAAAGCGACUUUCUGGGCCGUUCCUGACGCUGAGGUUCGAAAGCCAGGGGAGCAAACGGG